rnacentral:lncRNA from 1 species
AUUUGUUAUGUCAAGACCUUUAUUCUACUAGUUAGACCUUUCAUUGUUAUAGAUUCUCUAUUCCUAAUUCCCGUAACACGUAAAAUACUAGAAAAUAGGAAAAAUUCUGGAAAGAAAAUGAAAAUAUCCCUUCGGUCUAUGAUACAUAUACAUAAAUGGGAGGAAAUUCGGAUCAAACCUGUAUUUUUCUUACUUAAUCUUAGGUUCAUUUACUUCGAUGAAAGGGAAGAAAAUUGCCCGAACCCUUGUUAUUUUAUUUGAGUUUAGGUUUAAGUCUGACGAGAAUAAUAUUAUACGACUAGCAAUUCAUUUAUUUCCAAACCGACCCAUUUACUAUCUAUUAUUUGAUUGAAUAAUCCUUUAUAAUUACUCAUCAAGAGUAUAUGCUUCCU